AUUGAACGCUGGCGGCAGGCCUAACACAUGCAAGUCGAGCGAGCGGCGGACGGGUGAGUAAUGUCUGGGAAACUGCCUGAUGGAGGGGGAUAACUACUGGAAACGGUAGCUAAUACCGCAUACCAUCAGAUGUUCCCAGAUGGCGUGAGCGGUGCGGGGGGGUCACGGCCCACCGAGGCGACGAUCCCUAGCUGGUCUGAGAGGAUGACCAGCCACACUGGAACUGAGACACGGUCCAGAGUCCUACGGGAGGCAGCAGUGGGGAAUAUUGCACAAGGGGCGCAAUCCUGAUGCAGCCAGGCCGCGUGUGUGAAGAAGGCCUUCGGUUUGUAAAGCACUGUCAGCGGGGAGGCGUUACCCGCAGAAGAAGCACCGGCUAACUCCGUGCCAGCAGCCGCGGUAAUUC
rnacentral:rRNA from 1 species